GCUCAGUACUAGAUGUGGCACCUGAAUGGCAGCCAGUUCCUUCCUCACAAUGACUCUGCCAUUUGUAAAGGCUGGAAAAAUACGUUAUGGUUGGUAUAGCCUAUCCACAGCAGGCUAUCUCACAGACCCACCUCACACUUACAUCUACUCUGGUCAUAUUCGUGAUGUGAACUUGAGAAUUCAAAAGUGCAUUAUUCUGUUUGUCACCUAGAUAAAGUCUACCUAUAUAGCAAGGAGGAAAAAGAAGGCAUAGGAGGCAGAAAGUGCUCUCCAUUGAUUCUUAGGUACAUCCACACCUUGGUUCUACCUUCCUUCUCUUUCUUGGAAUAAGUCAUUCCUUUUAGCUUGAACUACUUGGAGAUAUUUCCUGUCCCUUGUAAACAAAUAACCUGAAACAAGAAUAUAGCAGAUCCUGGACUAAGGUAAUAGGUGAAAACCAGGUAAAUCUAGUCAAUGAAAAUAAAGCCAGAGCAAUGAGGAUUUUGCCUUUGCAUAAUAAAAC
rnacentral:lncRNA from 1 species